UCAUAAGCGUGGAUCAGGAAGAGUACGAGCAAGACCCUAAAGAGAGGGAGACCAUGUGCUGAAAGGUUUCCUAGGAUGUACUUGUUUGGAAGGUCGCCUGUGAGCUUAAUUUCUUGAAUGAACAAGUAGAGAAAUUCGGGAGAACCCCGUUAUCCUUUAGAGUGUAUGGGACACGUGUAUGUGUCUCGUGAAAAAAGGUGGUACCGCGAAAAAGCUUUUUCGUCCUUUUA
rfam:Bacillus pumilus SAFR-032, complete genome.